CGGGACUGGUGAGUAACGCGUGAGGAACCUGCCUUCCAGAGGGGGACAACAGUUGGAAACGACUGCUAAUACCGCAUGAAACAUUUGAACCGCAUGGUUUGAAUGUCAAAGAUUUAUCGCUGGAAGAUGGCCUCGCGUCUGAUUAGCUAGUAGGCGGGGUAACGGCCCACCUAGGCGACGAUCAGUAGCCGGACUGAGAGGUUGACCGGCCACAUUGGGACUGAGAUACGGCCCAGACUCCUACGGAAGGCAGCAG
rnacentral:rRNA from 1 species